rnacentral:tRNA from 1 species
UGUGGCGCGGGCCGCGGUUCCAGCCGUACUGGCUGGGGUCGGGUGAGCCCGCGCUGGAGCGGCCGCCGGUUCCGGCGCCGGUCGCGGCGCC